rnacentral:lncRNA from 1 species
UCAUCUUCAGAAGGAGAGAUGCCCUGAGGCUGACGAGGGGAAGGAGACUUCAUCUUCAGAAGGAGCGAUGCCCUGAGGCUGACGAGGGGAAGGAGAGAUGCCCUGAGGCUGAUGAGGGGAUGGAGAGAUGCCCUGAGGCUGACGAGGGGAAGGAGAGAUGCCCUGAGGUUGACGAGGGGAAGGAGAGAUCCCCUGAGGCUGACGAGGGGCAGUAGACUUCAUCUUCAGAAGGAGAGAUGCCCUGAGGCUGACGAGGGGAAGGAGAGAUGUCCUGAGGCUGACCAGGGGAAGGAGAGAUACCCUGAUGCUGACGAGGGGAAGGAGACUUCAUCUUCAGAAGGAGAGAUGCCCUGAGGCCGACGAGGGGAAGGAGACUUCAUCUUCAGAAAGAGAGAUGCCCUGAGGCUGACGAGGGGAAGGAGAGAUGCCCUGAGGCUGACGAGGGGAAGGAGAGAUGCCCUGAGGCUGACGAGGGGCAGGAGACUUCAUCUUCAGAAGGAGAGAUGCGCUGAGGCUGACGAGGGGAUGGAGAGAUGCUCUGAGGCCGACAAUGGGAAGGAGAGAUGCCCUGAGACUGACGAGGGGAAGGAGAUUUAAUCUUCAGAAGGAGAGAUGCCCUGAGGCUGACGAGGGGAAGGAGAGAUGCCCUGAGGCUGACGAGGGGAAGGAGAGAUGUCCUGAGGCUGACGAGGGGAAGGAGAGAUGCCCUGAGGCUGACGAGGGGAAGGAGAGAUGCCCUGAGGUUGACGAGGGGAAGGAGAGAUCCCCUGAGGCUGAUGAGGGGCAGUAGACUUCAUCUUCAGAAGGAGAGAUGCCCUGAGGCUGACGAGGGGAAGGAGAGAUGUCCUGAGGCUGACCAGGGGAAGGAGAGAUACCCUGAGGCUGACGAGGGGAAGGAGACUUCAUCUUCAGAAGGAGAGAUGCCCUGAGGCUGAUGAGGGGAAGGAGACUUCCUCUUCAGAAGGAGAGAUGCCCUGAGGCUGACGAGGGGAAGGAGAGAUGCCCUGAGGCUGACGAGGGGAAGGAGAGUUGCCCUGAGGCUGAUGAGGGGAAGGAGAGAUCCCUGAGGCUGAUGAGGGGCAGGAGACUUCAUCUUCAGAAGGAGAGAUGCGCUGAUGUUGACGAGGGGAUGGAGAGAUGCUCUGAGGCCGACAAGGGGAAGGAGAGAUGCCCUGACACUGACGAGGGGAAGGAG